rnacentral:tRNA from 1 species
AGGACUUUAAGUUAAUACAAUUAAACUUACAACCUUCAAAGUUGUAUAUAUCUAAGAUUUGGGUAAGUCUUA